CACCUACGGGAGGCAGCAGUGGGGAAUAUUGGACAAUGGGCGCAAGCCUGAUCCAGCAAUGCCGCGUGUGUGAAGAAGGCCUUCGGGUUGUAAAGCACUUUUGUUCGGGAAGAAAUCCGUGUGGUUAAUACCCGUACGGGAUGACGGUACCGAAAGAAUAAGCACCGGCUAACUUCGUGCCAGCAGCCGCGGUAAUACGAAGGGUGCAAGCGUUAAUCGGAAUUACUGGGCGUAAAGCGUGCGUAGGCGGUUUGUUAAGUCAGAUGUGAAAGCCCCGGGCUCAACCUGGGAACUGCAUUUGAUACUGGCAGGCUAGAGUACGGUAGAGGGUGGUGGAAUUCCCGGUGUAGCGGUGAAAUGCGUAGAGAUCGGGAGGAACAUCCGUGGCGAAGGCGGCCACCUGGACCAGUACUGACGCUGAGGCACGAAAGCGUGGGGAGCAAACAGGAUUAGAUACCCUGGUAGUCCACGCCCUAAACGAUGCGAACUGGACGUUGGGCUCACUUUGGAGCUCAGUGUCGAAGCUAACGCGUUAAGUCGCCGCC
rnacentral:rRNA from 1 species